rnacentral:rRNA from 1 species
GACGAACGCUGGCGGCGUGCUUAAUACAUGCAAGUCGAACGGAAAGGCCCUGCGCUUGUGGGGUUCUCGAUUGGCGAACGGGUGAGUAACACGUGUGUAACCUGCCCCUGACUUUGGGGGAACUUCAGGGAACUGGGGCUAAUAUCGGAGAGGAGCUACUGCUGCAUGGUGGGGGAUGGAAAGAUUCGGCGUUGGGGGAUGGUUUCGCGGGUUAUCAGCUUGUUUGGGUGGUAGUGGCUUACCAAGGCUUUGACGGGUAGGCGGCAUGAGAGGGUGACCGGCCACCUUGCGCCUGCGAUAGGGCGCAGUCUCCUACGGGACGCAGCAGUGGGGAGUAUUGCACAAUGGGCCCAAGCCUGAUGCAGAAGCGCCGCGUUCGGAAUGCCCGCUUUCGGGUUGUAAACCACUUUCGAAGGUGCCGAAGAGUGCGUGACGGUAAUGAGUCAAGAAGCAACGGCUAACUACGUG